rnacentral:rRNA from 1 species
GAUGAACGCUGGCGGCGUGCCUAAUACAUGCAAGUCGAGCGAACAGAUGAGGAGCUUGCUCCUCUGACGUUAGCGGCGGACGGGUGAGUAACACGUGGAUAACCUACCUAUAAGACUGGGAUAACUUCGGGAAACCGGAGCUAAUACCGGAUAAUAUCUUGAACCGCAUGGUUCAAUAGUGAAAGACGGUUUUGCUGUCACUUAUAGAUGGAUCCGCGCCGCAUUAGCUAGUUGGUAAGGUAACGGCUUAUCAAGGCAACGAUGCGUAGCCGACCUGAGAGGGUGAUAGGCCACACUGGAACUGAGCCACGGUCCAGACUCCUACGGGAGGCAGCAGUAGGGAAUCUUCCGCAAUGGGCGAAAGCCUGACGGAGCAACGCCGCGUGAGUGAUGAAGGUCUUCGGAUCGUAAAACUCUGUUAUUAGGGAAGAACAAAUGUGUAAGUAACUAUGCACGUCUUGACGGUACCUAAUCAGAAAGCCACGGCUAACUACGUG